rnacentral:misc_RNA from 1 species
GCUGAGUGCACCCAUGAUGGCUCUAUAAAGCAUAUACAGAAAUUUGAAAGUUGGGGUUGGACAUCUCUUCAGCGCAGAGUAUUGGACGCUGAGAGAACAGAUAAUUUGACUGUACUUCAGUUAAGACUCCUUACCAAUGGUUUUAGGUUGCUUAAAUCUGGGGGAAUACUUGUCUACAGCACUUGCAGUCUUACCGUAGCACAGAAU